rnacentral:rRNA from 1 species
GAACGGGUGAGUAAUACAUAAGUAACCUGCCCUAGACAGGGGGAUAACUAUUGGAAACGAUAGCUAAGACCGCAUAGGUACGGACACUGCAUGGUGACCGUAUUAAAAGUGCCUCAAAGCACUGGUAGAGGAUGGACUUAUGGCGCAUUAGCUGGUUGGCGGGGUAACGGCCCACCAAGGCGACGAUGCGUAGCCGACCUGAGAGGGUGACCGGCCACACUGGGACUGAGACACGGCCCAGACUCCUACGGGAGGCAGCAGUAGGGAAUUUUCGGCAAUGGGGGAAACCCUGACCGAGCAACGCCGCGUGAAGGAAGAAGGUUUUCGGAUUGUAAACUUCUGUUAUAAAGGAAGAACGGCGGCUACAGGAAAUGGUAGCCGAGUGACGGUACUUUAUUAGAAAGCCACGGCUAACUACGUGCCAGCAGCCGCGGUAAUACGUAGGUGGCAAGCGUUAUCCGGAAUUAUUGGGCGUAAGGAGGGAGCAGGCGGCAGCAAGGGUCUGUGGUGAAAGCCUGAAGCUUAACUUCAGUAAGCCAUAGAAACCAGGCAGCUAGAGUGCAGGAGAGGAUCGUGGAAUUCCAUGUGUAGCGGUGAAAUGCGUAGAUAUAUGGAGGAAC